CGAAAAGGUAGACGCGUUGGGCUGCUCACUCACAUCAGCACAGACUCUGACUGCUCCGAUGUCCAUUAGCGACGACGUGACAGAUGUUGCAGAGACUACAAAUUCUUUUCCGGGAUAUUUUGCUCAUCAUUUGUUCUUCACGAGGGACCGGAUAGACGGACACGCACGGUGCGUUACUGUGGCUGAGGCGCGUUCACCUCCCUGGACAUGGAGUCAGGAGAAGACACACCCUGCUGAUGAACCCGUCCUGUCAACGCGUCAGCUCAGCUGCCUGUAUUCAAAAUGAGACAGCAGAGAGACAAUAAGUGCAGGAGUCUGAUUGAUGACAUACAGUGGUGAUGGCAGCAGAAGCGUCCAUUUGCAGGUUAUCAGGUUUUCUAAAUGCCUGCUAACAGCUCAGGGUGAAAGCUGAAAAUGUGCUGACAUAAUAAAUAAAGACUAUUGCCAGAUUUGAAAUGGAGGCAAUUUUCACUGACUAAAAAUAGAAUCAAAGGCAGGUGACUUGGUGUUUUUAGGGGCUUCAUGUUGCUUACAGAAACUACUCGUCAGCCACAUGGUAUGGUGUUCAGCUCCCAUUCGCCGUGCUGAAGUGUCCUUGAGUAGAACACAGAAUCCUCACCACUUCCAGCCAUGCAGCUCUGCAGACUCUGUGAGUUUGACUUCUGACCUCCCUGUAAAAAGCAAGGAAAAAGUAGCAUUACAGGAAACUGCUACAUGGAGAGAAAUUGGUCAGCCUUUUAUGUAAGAUAAGUAUUGUUUAUGUAUUGUUAUAUAGAGGUUUAUGUUUAUUGAGUUUGGUCUAUUGAGUGUGUGUGUGUGUGUGGACAC